AUUGAACGCUGGCGGCAGGCCUAACACAUGCAAGUCGAACGAGUGGCGGACGGGUGAGUAAUGUCUGGGAAACUGCCUGAUGGAGGGGGAUAACUAAUGGAAACGGUAGCUAAUACCGCAUACCAUCGGAUGUGCCCAGUUGGGGUGAGCUAGUAGGUGGGGUAACGGCUCACCUAGGCGACGAACCCUAGCUGGUCUGAGAGGAUGACCAGCCACACUGGAACUGAGACACUGUCCAGACUCCUACGCGAGGCAGCAGUGGGGAAUAUUGCACAAUGGGCGCAAGCCUGAUGCAGCCAUGCCGCGUGUAUGAAGAAGUCCUUCGGGUUGUAAAGGACUUUUGUCAGGGAAGCGGUACCUGAAGAAUAAGCACCGGCUAACUACGUGCCAGCAGCCGCGGUAAUUC
rnacentral:rRNA from 1 species